GCUGGGUGUGGUGGCUCACGCCUGUAGUCCCAGCACUUUGGGAGGCCGAGGCAGGUGGAUCACCUGAGGUCAGGAGUUCAAGACCAGCCUGGCCAACAUGGUGAAACCCUGUCUCUA
ensembl:misc_RNA Metazoa_SRP Metazoan signal recognition particle RNA